GAUGAACGCUGGCGGCGUGCUUAACACAUGCAAGUCGAACGGGAAUUAUUUUAUUGAAACUUCGGUCGAUUUAAUUUAAUUCUAGUGGCGGACGGGUGAGUAACGCGUGGGUAACCUGCCUUAUACAGGGGGAUAACAGUCAGAAAUGGCUGCUAAUACCGCAUAAGCGCACAGAGCUGCAUGGCUCAGUGUGAAAAACUCCGGUGGUAUAAGAUGGACCCGCGUUGGAUUAGCUGGUUGGUGGGGUAACGGCCCACCAAGGCGACGAUCCAUAGCCGGCCUGAGAGGGUGAACGGCCACAUUGGGACUGAGACACGGCCCAGACUCCUACGGGAGGCAGCAGUGGGGAAUAUUGCACAAUGGGGGAAACCCUGAUGCAGCGACGCCGCGUGAAGGAAGAAGUAUCUCGGUAUGUAAACUUCUAUCAGCAGGGAAGAUAGUGGCGGUACCUGACUAAGAAGCCCCGGCUAACUACGUG
rnacentral:rRNA from 1 species